UACGUAGGGUGCAAGCGUUGUCCGGAAUUAUUGGGCGUAAAGGGCUCGUAGGCGGUCCGUCACGUCGGGAGUGAAAACUUGGGGCUUAACCCCAAGCCUGCUUCCGAUACGGGCGGACUAGAGGUAGGCAGGGGAGAACGGAAUUCCUGGUGUAGCGGUGAAAUGCGCAGAUAUCAUUUGGAACGCCAAUGGUGAAAACAGGUAGCUGGGGCUGUGCUGACGCUGAGACACGAAAGCCAGGGGAGCAAACGGG
rnacentral:rRNA from 1 species